rnacentral:rRNA from 1 species
CCUACGGGAGGCAGCAGUGGGGAAUAUUGGGCAAUGGGCGCAAGCCUGACCCAGCAAUGCCGCGUGAAGGAAGAAGGCUUUCGGGUUGUAAACUUCUUUGACAGGGGAAGAGCAGAAGACGGUACCCUGAAAACAAGCCACGGCUAACUACGUGCCAGCAGCCGCGGUAAUACGUAGGUGGCAAGCGUUGUCCGGAUUUACUGGGUGUAAAGGGCGUGUAGCCGGGAAGGCAAGUCAGUUGGGAAAUCUGGAGGCUCAACCUCCAAAUUGCAUUUGAAACGGUUUUUCUUGAGUACUGGAGAGGCAGACGGAAUUCCUUGUGUAGCGGUGAAAUGCGUAGAUAUAAGGAGGAACACCAGUGGCGAAGGCGGUCUGCUGGACAGCAACUGACGGUGAGGCGCGAAAGCGUGGGGAGCAAACAGGAUUAGAUACCCUAGUAGUC